rnacentral:tRNA from 1 species
CGGGGAGUGGCGCAGUCUGGUAGCGCACGUGCUUUGGGAGCACGUGGUCGCCGGUUCGAAUCCGGCCUCCCCGACCA